UACGAAGGGUGCAAGCGUUGUUCGGAAUCAUUGGGCGUAAAGCGCGUGCAGGCGGGUCAGUAAGUCAGGUGUGAAAUCUCGGGGCUCAACCUCGAAACUGCGCCUGAAACUACUAGUCUAGAAUGUCGGAGGGGGUAGGGGAAUUUCACGUGUAGGGGUAAAAUCCGUAGAGAUGUGAAGGAACACCGGAGGCGAAGGCGCCUACCUGGACGACUAUUGACGCUGAGGCGCGAAAGCGUGGGGAGCAAACAGG
rnacentral:rRNA from 1 species